GGGCUGGUAGAUCAGCGGAAGAUCGCACCGUUCGCAACGGUGAGGCCGCGGGUUCAACCCCCGCCCAGUCCA
rnacentral:tRNA from 1 species